UGCGCAGGCGGCCUGGUAAGUCAGGGGUGAAAUAUGACGGCUUAACCGUCAAACUGCCCCUGAAACUGUCAGGCUUGAGUUCGAGAGAGGUAGGUGGAAUUCCAGGUGUAGCGGUGAAAUGCGUAAAUAUCUGGAGGAACACCGGUGGCGAAGGCGGCCUACUGGCUCGAUACUGACGCUCAGGCACGAAAGCAUGGGGAGCGAACAGGAUUAGAUACCCUGGUAGUCC
rnacentral:rRNA from 1 species